rnacentral:rRNA from 1 species
GACGAACGCUGGCGGCGUGCUUAACACAUGCAAGUCGAACGGUAAGGCCUUCGGGUACACGAGUGGCGAACGGGUGAGUAACACGUGGGUGAUCUGCCCCCUACUCUGGGAUAAGCCUGGGAAACUGGGUCUAAUACCGGAUAUGACCUCCUGCUUCAUGGUGGGUGGUGGAAAGUUCUUUCGGUAGGGGAUGAGCCCGCGGCCUAUCAGCUUGUUGGUGGGGUAAUGGCCUACCAAGGCGACGACGGGUAGCCGGCCUGGGAUGGCGACCGGCCACACUGGGACUGAGACACGGCCAGACUCCUACGGGAGGCAGCAGUGGGGAAUAUUGCACAAUGGGCGAAAGCCUGAUGCAGCGACGUCGCGUGGGGGAUGACGGCCUUCGGGUUGUAAACCCCUUUCAGUCGGGACGAAGCGCAAGUGACGGUACCGAUAGAAGAAGCACCGGCCAACUACGUGCCAGCCGCCGCAGUAA